rnacentral:rRNA from 1 species
AGUCACGAGUUUGAUCCUGGCUCAGAUUGAACGCUGGCGGAAUGCUUACACAUGCAAGUCGAACGGUAGAGGGGGCAACCCUUGAGAGUGGCGAACGGGUGAGUAAUAUAUCGGAACGUGCCCAGUCGUGGGGGAUAACGUAGCGAAAGUUACGCUAAUACCGCAUACGAUCUACGGAUGAAAGCGGGGGACUCGCAAGAGCCUCGCGCGAUUGGAGCGGCCGAUAUCAGAUUAGGUAGUUGGUGGGGUAAAGGCUCACCAAGCCAACGAUCUGUAGCUGGUCUGAGAGGACGACCAGCCACACUGGAACUGAGACACGGUCCAGACUCCUACGGGAGGCAGCAGUGGGGAAUUUUGGACAAUGGACGCAAGUCUGAUCCAGCCAUUCCGCGUGCAGGAUGAAGGCCCUCGGGUUGUAAACUGCUUUUGUACGGAACGAAAAGGUUUCUAUUAAUACUAGGAGCUCAUGACGGUACCGUAAGAAUAAGCACCGGCUAACUACGUG